rnacentral:rRNA from 1 species
GAUCAUGGCUCAGGAUGAACGCUAGCUACAGGCUUAACACAUGCAAGUCGAGGGGUAGCAGGGUAGCAAUACCGCUGACGACCGGCGCACGGGUGAGUAACACGUAUCCAACCUUCCCAUAACUCAGGGAUAGCCUUUCGAAAGAAAGAUUAAUACCUGAUAGUACUUUUUCAAGGCAUCUUGAGAAAGUUAAAGAUUUAUUGGUUAUGGAUGGGGAUGCGUUCCAUUAGAUAGUUGGUGAGGUAACGGCUCACCAAGUCUUCGAUGGAUAGGGGUUCUGAGAGGAAGGUCCCCCACAUUGGUACUGAGACACGGACCAAACUCCUACGGGAGGCAGCAGUGAGGAAUAUUGGUCAAUGGGCGAGAGCCUGAACCAGCCAAGUAGCGUGAAGGAUGAAGGUCCUAUGGAUUGUAAACUUCUUUUAUAGUAGAAUAAAGUGAUCCACGUGUGGAUUUUUGUAUGUAUACUAUGAAUAAGGAUCGGCUAACUCCGUGCCAGCCGCUGC